rnacentral:tmRNA from 1 species
GGGGGUGCACCGGUUUCGACGAUUUAGAUGAUGCUUUUACUGCAGGUGGGAUUCAUUGCCUGUUCCCUAAACAGACGAAAAAAAUUAACUGGCGAAUCUAAUUCACAGUUUGCUCUCGCUGCGUAAGUAGCGAAGCCGGUAUCCUGAUGGCACCGCUUUGAGCGAUUGGGCAUACUGUCACUAAACCAAGGCUUGCUGCAUAAUGUAUCUGUUCGUUAUGUGGGACUUAUAAGCAGAAUACGGAGACGACGCUUGUGGUGCUGCUACCGUUUCCCGACAAUUACUUCGCACCGAUAAACCUGUAGACGUAACUGUGUUGCUUUUUCGGACGGGGGUUCAAUUCCCCCCAUCUCCAAUU